CGGUCCUCGUGGCCGUCCGAGUUGUAAUCUAGAGAAGCGUCUUCCGCGCUGGACCCGUGUACAAGUCUCCUGGAAGGGAGCGUCAUAGAGGGUGAGAAUCCCGUCUUUGACACGGACUGCCAGGGCUAUGUGAUGCGCUCUCGAAGAGUCGAGUUGUUUGGGAAUGCAGCUCAAAACGGGUGGUAAAUUCCAUCUAAAGCUAAAUACGGGCGAGAGACCGAUAGCGAACAAGUACCGUGAGGGAAAGAUGAAAAGAACUUUGGAAAGAGAGUUAAACAGUACGUGAAAUUGCUGAAAGGGAAACGCUUGAUGUCAGUCGCGUCCGCCAGGGAUCAACCUUGCAUUAGUUUGCUGGGCGCAAUUCUUGGUAGGACGGGUCAGCGUCAGUUUCGAUCGUCGUAGAAUGGUCAAGGGAACGUGGCACCUCCAGGGGUGUGUUAUAGCCCUGGGUCGCAUGCGUCGGUAGGGACUGAGGAACUCGGCACGAACCUUUGCGGGUUCGGUGUCUAGGAUGCUGGCAUAAUGGCCUUAAGCGACCCGUCUUGAAACACGGACCAAGGA
rnacentral:rRNA from 1 species